UACGUAGGGUCCAAGCGUUAUCCGGAAUCACUGGGCGUAAAGCGUGCGCAGGCGGCUGCUCAAGUCAGGGGUGAAAGCCCAGAGCUCAACUCUGGAAUUGCCUUUGAGACUGAGUGGCUUGAGUACGGGAGAGGUGAGUGGAAUUCCCAGUGUAGAGGUGAAAUUCGUAGAUAUUGGGAAGAACACCGGUGGCGAAGGCGGCUCACUGGCCCGUAACUGACGCUCAUGCACGACAGCGUGGGGAUCAAACAGG
rnacentral:rRNA from 1 species